rnacentral:rRNA from 1 species
UACGUAGGGUGCAAGCGUUAAUCGGAAUUACUGGGCGUAAAGCGUGCGCAGGCGGUUAUGCAAGACAGAUGUGAAAUCCCCGGGCUCAACCUGGGAACUGCAUUUGUGACUGCAUGGCUAGAGUACGGUAGAGGGGGAUGGAAUCCCGCGUGUAGCAGUGAAAUGCGUAGAUAUGCGGAGGAACACCGAUGGCGAAGGCAAUCCCCUGGACCUGUACUGACGCUCAUGCACGAAAGCGUGGGGAGCAAACAGG